rnacentral:rRNA from 1 species
UACGUAGGGGGCAAGCGUUGUCCGGAAUUAUUGGGCGUAAAGAGCGUGUAGGCGGUCCGGUAAGUCAGCUGUGAAAGUCAAGGGCUCAACCCUUGAAUGCCGGUUGAUACUGUCGGGCUAGAGUCCGGAAGAGGCGAGUGGAAUUCCCGGUGUAGCGGUGAAAUGCGCAGAUAUCGGGAGGAACACCAACGGCGAAGGCAGCUCGCUGGGACGGUACUGACGCUGAGACGCGAAAGCGUGGGGAGCAAACAGG